GAUGAACGCUAGCGGCAGGCUUAAUACAUGCAAGUCGAGGGGCAGCAUGAUUGUAGCAAUACAAUUGAUGGCGACCGGCAAACGGGUGCGGAACACGUACACAACCCUCCAAUAAGUGGGGAAUAGCACAGAGAAAUUUGGAUUAAUACCCCGUAACAUAACGAUGUGGCAUCACAUUGUUAUUAUAGAUUUUUCGCUUAUUGAUGGGUGUGCGGCUGAUUAGAUAGUUGGCGGGGUAACGGCCCACCAAGUCUACGAUCAGUAGCUGAUGUGAGAGAAUGAUCAGCCACACGGGCACUGAGACACGGGCCCGACUCCUACGGGAGGCAGCAGUAAGGAAUAUUGGACAAUGGACGCAAGUCUGAUCCAGCCAUGCCGCGUGAAGGAUUAAGGUCCUCUGGAUUGUAAACUUCUUUUAUAAGGGACGAAAAAAGGCUUUUCUAAGUCGUCUGACGGUACCUUAUGAAUAAGCACCGGCUAACUCCGUGCCAGCCGCCGCUGUAAUAC
rnacentral:rRNA from 1 species